CCUUUUUUUGCAUAGGAGAUGGUAUGCAGAGCUUGUCUGAGCCCUUGCAACCACGAGAGGGCAAGCGGCAUCAGCAUGUAUGUCUGGAAGGAGUUAAAAAACGCAGGGGUAACUCCGCAGCCUAUGUUUAUUUUUCAUUUUCAGAUCCUUAUUUCUUAGUUUAUACUCAUCAGCACAGAAUAUAUUUGUUGAAGGUUGACCUUUUUUUCUUCUUUUUUUCUCCCUGAGUUUUGUAGUAGAGGGGAGCCCCUAGUUAACUAGUUGUUUACAUUGAAUCAUUGAAUUUUUUUUAUUCAGUGUGUUAAGCUCUUCCUGUGUGGUUAGAAAGUAGAAACAUACUUACUGUCAUAAUAGGGAUUUUAUAAGUCUAAAAAAACAGGGCUCAUUUGUUAAUGUUUGUAGCUUGGCUUUACUUCCAGAAAGCACGGCCAUGAUUUUAACUAGCAGCAGCAAUUAUCUUUUUGAUUUUAUUAGUGCUUUACUAGCGACGAUCUUCCCUUUUUUGUAAAUGUGUUUUUUUGCACUGAUAUGUUGGUUCAUGUUUUAAGAGUUCAGUGUAUCUUUUUUUUCUAGCCAUUUUUUUGACCCAUGUAUAAUGUAUAAUGUAGAGUGUAGAUUUUUGUAGAAUUCACAGUUUGAUGUUCAUGUUCAAACCAUGUAGGUUGUUUCCUGUAGAUUUUUGUUGCUUGUUCCUGUCAUUUGUCAUUUUUCUGAUUUGUAGCUCGUUUCCUGUAGCUUUUUUUUUUUCAUUUUUUGUCGUUUUGUUCAGUCAUGCAUAUAUGCUAAUUUAGACUGAAUUUGAGGUUGUCAGCUUGACUCUCUUUUUUUAUAUCAGUGCUCAACGCAUCAGGCAGAUUCAUGAUCGUUUGUUUAUUUGAUGUAUCUUUUGUUACAAUAUUUUUGUUAUCCAGCACAUGCUAACCUCUGCAUGUGUGGCUAAAGAGGAGAAACACACUUACUGUCAUAAUAGGGAUUUUUACUACAUUUUUUCGGACAUGAUUUUUUUCAUAACCAUGAGGAUGCCUUUUCUAUUUUUUACAAUAAAUAUUUACUACACUUUUUGGGUUUUUGUUUUUCUGUCCAACAAAACAUGUUGUGUCUUGCAACAAAUGGUUUCAUUUCAACAACCCGACAAGAGAUAGGCUGAAGUUUAUGGCAAACAAACGGAUGUACACUAGUCAUGCAACUGUAAGUGUUGUACGCGACAACAAUUGUAUGUCUUUUCCAACAUGGUUGUAAUUGGGGCUUUGUUUUGUUGGAGGAGUCGACGAGGAGAGAGAGGGGGGAGCAGUUCGCAUGUUUUUUCUAAUUAUGGUUUGCAUGCCCAAGUGUAGUCAUGCAACUGCAUGUGUUCUAACUAGGGUGCAUUUUUGUGCUUUUUGUUUUUCAUCGCAAGGGACCGAUGAGAAGAGGACUAGUUGCAUGUCCCACAAACUACAAUCAGAGGGGACAACAGAGAGGGACGGGGGCUUAGUUGCAUUCCUCGGUCGCAAUUGCAUGUCUUCCAACUAUGCUUGAAACCACACUUUUGUUUUGUCAGAGGGACCGACGAGGGGAGGGGCCAGUUGCAUGCCCAAUUAUAUUUACGCAACAACAUGUCUACCAACAUAGUUGCAACUGGGAUCCCUUUUUUUGUUGGAGGGGGCGGCUGGAAGAGAGACGGGGCUAGUUGCAUGUCCAACUAUAGUCACGUAACUGCAUGUCUUCCAACAUAGUUGCAACUGGGGAGGCCUUCGUUUUGUCGGAGGGGGCAGCGGGAAGAGAGAGGGCACCAGUUGCAUGUCCAACUAUAGUCACGUAACGGCAUGUCUUCCAACGUAGUUGCAACUACACGUCUUCUAACUUGAUUGUAACUAUGCUUUUUAUUUUUUAUUGGAGGGACCGAUGAUGAGAGGUCCCAUUUGCAUGUCCCACAUUAGUCACGCAACUGCAUGUCUUCUAACUUGGUUGCAACUAGGAUUUUAUUUUUGUCGGCGGGACCGAUGAGGAGAGGGGUCAAUUGCAUGUCCCACACUAGUCAUGCAACUGCAUGUCUUCUAACAUGGUUGCAACUGGGCUUUGGCUUUGUCAGAGGGACCGACAAGGAGAGGAGCUAGUUGCAGGUCCAACUAUAGUCAUGUCUUCGAAAAUAGUUGCAAAUGGGGCCCUUUGUUUUCUCGGAGGGAGCGACGGGAAGAGAGAGGGGGGCCAGUUGCAUGUCAAACUAUACUGACGGAACUUGCAUGUCUUCCAAACAUAGUUGCAACUGGGAUGGGGGAGGGGGCUUUGUUUUGUGGAGGGGGCGACGGCAAGAGAGAGGGGGCUAGUUGCAUGUCAAACUAUAGUCAUGCAACUACAAGUGGCUUUGUUUUGUCGGAGGGCGCGACAGGGAGAGAGUAGGGCCAGUUGCACGCCCAACUAUAGUCAUGCAACUGCAUGUCUUACAACAUGGUUGCAGUUACAUGUCUUCUAACUUGAUUGCAACUUGGGCUUUUGUUUUGUUGGAGGGACUGACGAGGAGAGGGGCCAGUUGCAUGUCCUACACUAGGGCACGCAAUUGCAUGUCUUCUAACUUGGUUGCAACUAGGGCCUUUGUUUUGUCGAAGCGGGUGGCGGGAAGAGAGAGGGCGCCAAUUGCAUGUCCAACUAUAGUCACGCAACUCCAUGUGUUCCAACUUGGUUGUAACUCGACUUUUCUUUGUCGGAGGGACCGACGAGGAGAGGGGCGAGUUGCAUGUCCCAUAUUAGGUAGUUAACUGCAUUUCUUCUAGCUUGGUUGCAACUGGGGCCUUUGUUUUGUCGAAAUAGGUGGCAGGAAGAGAGAGGGCGUCAUUUGCAUGUCCAACUAUAGUCAAGAAAAUGCAUGUCUUCCAACAUGGUGGCAACAUCAUGUCUUCUAACUUGGUUGCAACUCGGCUUUUGUUUUGUCGGAGGGACCAACGAGGAGAGCAGUGAGUUGCAUGUCCCACACUAGGCACGCAACUGCAUGCCUUCUAGCUUGGUUGCAACUGGGGCCUUUGUUUUUUCAAAGNNNNNNNNNNNNNNNNNNNNNNNNNNNNNNNNNNNNNNNNNNNNNNNNNNNNNNNNNNNNNNNNNNNNNNNNNNNNNNNNNNNNNNNNNNNNNNNNNNNNNNNNNNNNNNNNNNNNNNNNNNNNNNNNNNNNNNNNNNNNNNNNNNNNNNNNNNNNNNNNNNNNNNNNNNNNCAGUUGCAAGUCCUACACUAGUCACGCAACUGCAUGUCUUCUAACUUGAUUGCAAUUGGGCUUUCGUUUUGUCGAACGGACCGACGACAUGAGGGGCCAGUUGCGCCUCUAUACUAGCCACGCAACUGCAUGCCUUCCAACAUGGUUGCAACUACAAUCACCCAACUACAUGUCUUCCAAGAUAGUUGCAACUAGGGGCCUUUGUUUUUCUCAGGGGAUGGGGGGAGGGGUAAGAGGUAAGAGAGAGGGAGCUAGUUGCAUGUCAAACUAUAGUCACGCAACUGCAUGUCUUCUAACUUGGUUGCAACCGGGGGGCCUUUGUUUUGUCGGAGGGGCGUCUGGAAGAGAGAGGGCGCCGGUUGCAUGUCCAACUAUAGUCACGCAACUGCAUGCCUCCCAACAUAGUUACAACUGGGGUCUUUCUUUUUGUCACAGGGGGCGGCGGGAAGAGAAAGGGGGCCAGUUGCAUGUCAAUCAUCAUCAAAACGCAUGCCCUCUGCGAAACUAGGUCCAUGGGUAGAACCAGCAACGGCUUCAUCAUACUCCAAGUCAUCCUCACCUUCAUCAAACUCUAAAUCAUCGUCAUUCAUGUUUUGUUCUGUGUAUCUAGGUUGGUAGCUACAACCUGCAUGUUCUUCAGUUGUGUUGCCAUCCUAGCUCCAACUAGGGAAACCUUCUGCCCACCACAUUUUCUGCAUGUUGUUGGUUGCCCCCUGUCGUUUUGUCCUUGCAAACACCCAUAUUGUUCGGUUAACAUGUACAUGUCAUUCUGCAUAGUAAUAAGAAGAAUAAGAAAUGAGGACAUUUUUAUUGUCACACAUAGGGCAAAGGACUGGGGGAAUAUGUAUACAUAUGUAAAUGAGUCAAUUUUAUUUGUACGAAAACCCCCUGCCACGAAACUUGUUGCUGACCAAAAUGUUGGAAUCCACCAAUUCUAGUCUGUCACCACAAAACAUGUAAUGUAAUUUCCAUUUUCCUUUUUAUCAUUUUCCCCAUUUUUUCCCCUUAUACAUCUCAACAUCAACAAAAAAAGGCACUUUAAGUACCUCUUGACUAGCAGCCAUCAACAACUGUGUGUAACUCAUGUUGCUACCUCCAAGUAAAUUCAUUUCCUGCAUUUUUACUUUUUGUAUGUUAGAAUUUGAUAAUAAUUUAAGUUUUUUUUCUCUUUUUUUUUCAUAGUUACAAGGUGUGCAACGGAGUUCCAUAUUAUUCAUCAAAGCAGAGAACUUAUAGAGGGGACAAGCUUUCCUUUUUUUGCCAUGAAAAGCUAGUGCAUGUGGUGCUAAUGUAAUUGAAGAUGGUUGGAAUGCUAGAUGCAUCCCAGCUUGCUGCAGUUGCACAUGUGGGAUACCAAGGUAUGGCUGCUGCAAACACAAAGUCAUGUUUUCGUCAGUUUACUGUUAUUUAACUUUUGUUCCCUUUUCAUUUUUGUUGUCACCCACAAGGAUAUGUAAUUACAAUCUAAGGAUUUUUUUUUGCAUUUUUUUCCUUCUCACCUGAAUUGGGGUCUGCAAACUAUGCGGAGUUGGAGCACAACUGUUCGGAAUUUUUUGUGCCAAAGUAUUCUUCGGAUGCUACACAAAAUGCAGGAAACAGUAUGUGUCAAUCUGAAUGCAUGAGAUAUCUUUUUUAUUUUUCGGCAUUAUACAAACAACCACAUUCAUCAGUUUUAUUAUGUGUCAAGGACAGAAAGAUUCAACUUUUUUUUCUUCAUUCUAUAAUUUUUGGCAAGCAAGGAAUGAAAGAUUCAAUUUUUCUCUGUCCAGAACAAGUGUUUCACCAUGCUAAGUAUAUUUUUUUGGUCAAAAUAGUGCAUUCAAGAUAGACAGUUCUCCACCCCAAAGUGUAAAUCUGGGAAUCCAAGGAAUAGAUCAUAACUUUCAGCCAUGUCUGUUUCUACUGUGUGCUUUUUUUCCUGGAGCUUUUGUAGUAGUUUGACUGAACAUAUGGAAAAAGCACCAUCAUGGAAUUUACCAUCUGUUAAUCAACUACUACAUGUGCAGCAUGCUGAGACAGAAUGAACAACAUGCAGGUAUAUCUAUAAAAAAAUUGAAUUUUUUUCAGGCAGAUUGAACAACAUCCUGAGAUAGACGAAGUUUUCCCAUGAGUUUUUCUCAGAGACAAACAUGUGUGCCCAUCAGGAAAGUGCCAUACUGCUCCAAGAUUGCUGGGAAAAAAAUAAGAGAAGUAAGAAGGAAAUCACAAAUUUUUCAGAUCCAAAAUUAACAGGGGAACAAGAACAUGAAAAGGGAGGAGCUGUAGAUGGAUCCAUGGAUGCAGCGGGGAGGGUUUUGCCUGGGUGGUGUUGUCACAAAGAAGGAACGAAGAACUGGCACAGGAACGAAAGUUUUUCCUGUCGUUUAGCUACAAAAAUGGGCCUUACAUUUUUCUGUUGUCUUUUUGCUGCGCC
rnacentral:lncRNA from 1 species